UAUCGUGAAACUUGUGCUUUUUUAUUAGGAGGUUUUUCAAUAUAUAACUAAAAUAAAAAAAUCAUACAGAUAUCUUAAAAAUUCAGGCAACCCUAGAGGCUUUAAAAUUUGCUCGAUUUUGAAGGGAUAAAUUGCUACAAGAUUUAUGGCUUCAACUCAUGAAAACUUUAUAUUUCAGCGAAUAUGAGUAAUUAUAUGUAUUAUAUUACUUUGUUUCACGUAUAUUUUCAUUCUGAUAUAACUUGUAAUCCAUAUUUUACUUUAUAGAGGUUUAAACUAAUUUUUGUUUAAUUUAGGCCUUUUUCUGUAUAAAUAUACUAGUUUGAGUUAUUUAUAUCAACUUUAAAGUACAUAUUGUCUAAAUUUAAACCUGCUACUAGAAGCUAUACGGGAAAUUCUUUUUUUAAGCCAAAUUAUUUAUGUGAUGGAAUCAUCAACCUUAAUAACAGAAGGGAAGUUUAGAUAUGAAAGAUGCUGGAGUCGUUAUCGAUGAAGUCUAAUUGUUUUGAAAAAGGUGUAACUUACCAACAGUUACAAAACAUUGAACCAAGAACAAAAUCAUCUAGUACUACAAGGAAUGGCAAAGCCUUAAAUAUACACAAAGAAAAGACGUCAGAUGUUCAUCAACAAAAUGUUGAUAAAGUUUUGAGAAACAUAUCUGUAAUCCCAAAACAGAAGAAUUACUGCGUUUAACACUAGGAAAAGAUAAAGUUCAAGAAGAUAUAAAGUCUUUUUUUUUAAAUGCUCAGAGUAAUAGAAAAUAUACAUCUGGGAGCAAAAGAUAAGACCUCCGAAAAGAAAAUUAAACGGAAAACAAACAGAAGAAAAGAAGAAAAACAGCGUCUUAAUAAUACAAACAAUAAUGAAUUUUCAAAUGAAGAGUAUCCUAUGAUUAAACCAGAAAGUUCAGUUGAAUAAGAUUUAGAAUUAUUUCCAACAAAGACAAAGGUGUCUGACCAACUUGCUUAAAAAAAUCAGAAGCUGACCUUGUUAAUGAGAUUACUUGAUUACUUUUUCAGAAAAUCAGAAAUACUCUAUCAGCAAAAUGUAGCUCCUGGUACAUCACUAUAUAUAACUAUUGACCUUUAAACAUUGAAGAUAAUACCAUCUUUCAUAUCAGAUCACAAAAAGAUCUUAGUUGUUCUCAACUGUUGGAGAUCAACAAAGAAGAAGUUCUGGAAACUAAAAGUAUCCUUUCUAGAAUGUCGUGUAGCCAACAAAAAGUAAACAAAAAAAAAACAAAAAAACAUGGGUUGUUUUUUUCUGCAAUUAAUGAAAGACUAAACGAAUUUAUAUUAUAUGAAAUAUGAACUCUCCCAUUUACGAAAUUAGUGGGAAAUAAGACGAAAUUCUCAAAACCAUUUAAAAAUCUUGAGAAGAGGAUGAAACUUCAAUUACUCAGCGAAAAUACAAAAGACUUCACAAUAAUUAUAUUUUAUUAAAGUGCUUUUCAUUUUUUAAAACUAAAUAUACAUUAAAAAUAAUGGUUUCUAGAGGGUAAUUGUUUAUAUUUCGAAAA
rnacentral:lncRNA from 1 species